CUAGGGAGGCAGCAGUGGGGAAUAUUGCACAAUGGGCGCAAGCCUGAUGCAGCCAUGCCGCGUGUAUGAAGAAGGCCUUCGGGUUGUAAAGUACUUUCAGCGAGGAGGAAGGCGUUGUGGUUAAUAACCGCAACGAUUGACGUUACUCGCAGAAGAAGCACCGGCUAACUCCGUGCCAGCAGCCGCGGUGA
rnacentral:rRNA from 1 species